UACAGAGGGUGCGAGCGUUAAUCGGAGUUACUGGGCGUAAAGGGCGCGUAGGCGGAUAUUUAAGUGAGAUGUGAAAUCCCUGGGCUUAACCUAGGAACUGCAUUUUAUACUGGGUAUCUUGAGUACUGUAGAGGGUAGUGGAAUUUCCGGUGUAGCGGUGAAAUGCGUAGAGAUCGGAAGGAACACCCGUGGCGAAAGCGAGCCCCUGGAC
rnacentral:rRNA from 1 species